GAACGCUGGCGGCGUGCUUAACACAUGCAAGUCGAACGGUAAGGCCCCUUUUUUUGGGGUGUACGAGUGGCGAACGGGUGAGUAACACGUGAGUAACCUGCCCCAGACUUUGGGAUAACAGUUGGAAACGAUUGCUAAUACUGGAUAUGAGCUGCUGCCGCAUGGUGGUGGUUUGAAAGUUCCGGCGGUUUGGGAUGGGCUCGCGGCCUAUCAGCUUGUUGGUGAGGUGAUGGCUUACCAAGGCUUCGACGGGUAGCCGGCCUGAGAGGGCGACCGGCCACAUUGGGACUGAGAUACGGCCCAAACUCCUACGGGAGGCAGCAGUGGGGAAUAUUGCACAAUGGACGGAAGUCUGAUGCAGCAACGCCGCGUGCGGGAUGACGGCCUUCGGGUUGUAAACCGCUUUCAUCCAUGACGAAGCUUUUGUGACGGUAGUGGGUAAAGAAGCACCGGCUAACUACGUGCCAUCAGCCGCGGUGAUACGUAGGGUGCGAGCGUUGUCCGGAUUUAUUGGGCGUAAAGAGCUUGUAGGCGGUUUGUCGCGUCGGGAGUGAAAACUCGGAGCUUAACUUUGAGCUUGCUUUCGAUACGGGCUGACUUGAGGGAGGUAGGGGAGAAUGGAAUUCCUGGUGGAGCGGCGGAAUGCGCAGAUAUCAGGAGGAACACCGGUGGCGAAGGCGGUUCUCUGGACCUUUCCUGACGCUGAGAAGCGAAAGCGUGGGGAGCGAACAGGCUUAGAUACCCUGGUAGUCCACGCCAUAAACGGUGGGUACUAGGUGUGGGGGACAUUCCACGUUCUCCGUGCCGUAGCUAACG
rnacentral:rRNA from 1 species